rnacentral:rRNA from 1 species
UUAUUAUUUAGUAUAUAUAAGGAAAAAUUUUUGUUGUUAUAGUUUAUUAGUACUGUCAAGGAAUUGAUGAAAUAUUAAAAAAUUGUUUUAAUAAAAGUAUGUUUAUUUUACAGUACCUUUUGUAUCAGGGUUAAUCAAUUUAUUUAAUUUAUAUUUACAUCUCGAUUUCAGAAGAGCUAAAUUAUUAUUUUAGUUAAUGUGGAAUAAUUAUUAAGAAUAUAUUUUAGAGGAGAAAUUUUAUUCGAUUUUGAGGGUAUCUAGUUUUUUGAGAAAUAAAUUUAAUUUAGUUUCAUUAAUUAUAUUUUAUAUUAAUAUAUAAUCUAUAGAAUGAAAUAAAUAUUAUAGGGGAUAAGCUCUAUAUUAUUCUAUAAAAAAUUUAUGAAUUUAUUUUUGUAGGGUUAGAAUUAUCCAUCAUUAGUAAGUGUGUUAUAAUUUAUAUUUGUUAUUAAUUAAUUUAAUUUUUUUUAGUACAUUAUCAAAAUAUUAAAUUUAACUUAUUAAUUUAAGUAAUAAUGAUUAAAUUAGUAUAAAAUUAUGUUAAUUAUAUAAUUAACUUUAUGAUAAAAUAAGGAACUCGGCAAAUAUAGUUCUCGCCUGUUUAUCAAAAACAUGUCCUUUUGAAUUUAAUUUAAGGUCUGACCUGCCCAGUGAUAUAUUUAACGGCCGCGGUAUACUGACCGUGCAAAGGUAGCAUAAUCAUUAGUCUUUUAAUAGAGGGCUGGAAUGAAAGGUUCAACGAGGAAUUGACUGUCUCAUUUUAUUUGUUUUAAAAUUUAAUUUUUUAGUUAAAAAGCUAAAAUGUUAUUGGAAGACRAGAAGACCCUAUAGAGCUUUACAUAAUUUUAAUUAGAUUUCAUAUAAAUAUAAAUAUCUCUAGUUAUUAUUAUGUUUUGUUGGGGUGACAAAAAUAUAUAAUUAACUUUUUUAUUUAUUUAACAUUAAUUUAUGAAUAUUAGAUCCAUUAUUAUUGAUUACUAGAUUAAGUUACCUUAGGGAUAACAGCUGUAAUCCUCCUCCAGAGUUCAUAUUUACAGGAUGGGCUUGCGACCUCGAUGUUGGAUUAAGAUAAUAAUUAGGUGUAGCCGCUUAAUUUAUAGGUCUGUUCGACCUUUAAAUUCUUACAU